rnacentral:rRNA from 1 species
GACGAACGCUGGCGGCGUGCCUAAUACAUGCAAGUCGAACGCGAGCACUUGUGCUCGAGUGGCGAACGGGUGAGUAAUACAUAAGUAACCUGCCCUAGACAGGGGGGAUAACUAUUGGAAACGAUAGCUAAGACCGCAUAGGUACGGACACUGCAUGGUGACCGUAUUAAAAGUGCCUCAAAGCACUGGUAGAGGAUGGACUUAUGGCGCAUUAGCUGGUUGGCGGGGUAACGGCCUACCAAGUCGAUGAUCAGUAGCCGGACUGAGAGGUUGAACGGCCACAUUGGGACUGAGAUACGGCCCAG